rnacentral:rRNA from 1 species
ACGGAGGGUGCAAGCGUUGUUCGGAUUCACUGGGUAUAAAGGGUGCGCAGGCGGCCUGGUAAGUCAGGGGUGAAAUAUGACGGCUCAACCGUCAAACUGCCUCUGAAACUGCCUGGCUUGAGUCCGGGAGAGGUAGGUGGAAUUCCAGGUGUAGCGGUGAAAUGCGUAAAUAUCUGGAGGAACACCGGUGGCGAAGGCGGCCUACUGGCCCGGUACUGACGCUCAGGCACGAAAGCUAGGGGAGCGAACGGG